GAAAAAGAAAAAGAAAAAAGAACUCCAACGCUCCCUUCCCCUUCUUCUUCCUCUUCCUUUCUUCGUAUUUCUUCUUCUUCGUCAAACAUUCUGAUUCAGUUUCAUCAUGGAAACAACUGAUCGCUCCUCUUAAUCUUACUUCAAGUUCAACACAGAAAAGUAACCUAAAUUUUCUUCGAAUUUCUUCUCAGGAUGCCAUCUCGUAUCAUUUCUUCCCCAUCUCCUUCUCCUUCUUCACUACAAACCCAUCAUCAUCCUCUCUCUUCUCAUAUUCUUCCUCCAAUCGUUGCCGCUUCCACUGCUGCUUUCUCUCUUUUCCUCUUUCUCAUCAUUCUCUUCCGCAAACUUACUCGCAAACGCACUGCUCCUGCCGAUUCCAAGCCUCCCCAUCGUUUCUCUUACUCCCUUCUCCGCCGUGCCACCGAUUCUUUCUCCCCUUCUCGCCGCCUUGGCCAAGGUGGAUUUGGCUCUGUUUACUAUGGUACUCUCCCCCAAACCCAUAAAGAAAUUGCUGUCAAACUUAUGGAUUCUGGGUCUUUACAAGGCGAGAGGGAAUUUCAGAACGAGCUGUUCUUUGCCUCCAAGAUUGACUCGUCUUUUGUCGUCAGUGUUCUUGGGUUUUGCUCUGAUCAAAAGCGGCGCAGGAUGUUGUUAGUUUAUGAGCUUUUGCAUAAUGGGAAUUUGCAGGAUGCUUUGUUGCACAGGAAGUGCCCUGAGCUUAUGGAGUGGAAGAAACGCUUUUCAGUGGCGGUUGAUAUUGCUAAGGGAUUAGAGCAUCUUCAUGGGUUAGAUCCACCUGUUAUUCAUGGUGAUAUCAAGCCUAGUAAUGUGCUUUUGGAUCAUUGUUUCUCGGCCAAAAUUGGGGAUUUUGGGCUUUCUAGGUUGAAAUUAGAGAACAGUCCAUUUGAGGUUGAGGUGAAAGUAAAAGGUGGAGUGGAGGAGGAGAAGAAGGAAAGAAAAGAGGAACAUGAGAGCAACCGUGGUUGUGUAGUCGAAGAUUGUGGAUCUGUGGCUGAGGAAGCUGAGAGCGUAACCACUGGAUUUGAGGAAUUCAACGUGGGUGUUGAUCAGUCACCGGAGAGCUUUUUGAGAAUUCCUGUUUCAGAGACUUCACCGGAGACGGUGGAUGUCACUUCACCAGAGACUGCUUUGGGGGUUGCAGCAAUGGCAUCCCCCUCAGAAGGGGCUUUUGAUAGAGCUAGUUUUGAGAAUGGGAAAGAACCCAACAGUGUGGAGAAGAAAAGUAUUAAGAAUAGUAUCUCAGGUAAAGAUUGGUGGUGGAAACAAGAAAAUGGAGUUGGUACCAGUGGGAAUGUUAAGGAAUAUGUUAUGGAGUGGAUUGGAUCAGAGAUCAAACGCGAGAGGCCGAAGAGCGAAUGGAUUGCUGCAUCGUCAAGUGGCAGAUCAGUUAAGAAGUCAGAGAAAAAGAAGAACAAGAAGCGAUUAGAGUGGUGGAUGGCUAUGGAUGAUGAAAAGAGUGCCAAGAAUCUGAAAAAGGAGAAGAGAAGGCCAGUGAGGGAAUGGUGGAAGGAGGAGUAUUGUGAAGAGCUUGCAAAGAAAAGGAAGAAAAAGAAGCCCCAAAAAGGGGCAGGUAGUUGUGAUGGGAAAGAGCCUGACUUCUGGCCAGUGGAUGACGAAAUGUACAGAGACAAAAAGAAGAGGAAUAGAAGCAGAAGCCAUGGAAGCCGAGGUAGCAUUGAUUGGUGGUUAGAUGGGCUUAGCGGGGAACUCUGGAAAACUCGUGGGACCAGCCACGAUUCGACCGGAGGGGAUUUUCCCAAGAGUGGUGGCAUUAGUAGUACGCCAAGUAUGAGAGGAACAAUGUGCUAUAUUGCCCCGGAAUAUGGUGGUGGUGGAGAUCUUUCUGAGAAAUCUGAUGUUUAUAGCUAUGGAGUUUUAUUAUUAGUUCUGAUAGCUGGAAGAAGACCCCUUCAGGUGACAAAUUCACCAUUAUCAGAAUUCCAACGUGCCAAUCUCUUAUCGUGGGCUCGCCAUCUCGCUAGAGCUGGAAAGCUCAUUGAUUUGGUUGAUCAGUCGAUUCAGUCUUUAGAUCGAGAUCAAGCCCUUCUUUGCAUCAAGGUUGCCCUGCUUUGUCUGCAGAAACUGCCUGCUCGCAGGCCCUCCAUGAAAGAAGUUGUGGGGAUGCUAACGGGUGGGUUGGAACCACCCCAACUGCCAACUGAAUUGUCUCCUUCGCCUCCAUCUCGCUUCCCUGUUAAGUCGCAUCGGAAGCAUCGGCAUGCCUUUUGCUUUAGUUGAAAGGAAAUGAUAGGUACAGAAAAGCAAUAGUAUUGGCAAUAGAGCUAGAAUUGCAGACCUUUUGCUCUGGAAUUUCUCUUUCCCUUUUGAUGAGGAAACUACUUUUGUUAAGAGACAUCGAAGAUAUAUACACUGGGCCAUAUUCCCCCCCCCCCCCAGAAAGAAAAAAAAAAGAGAAAAGAAGAAAAAAAGACAGACUUAGGCCAUCCAAAAGGCUCCAAAGCCUACUGAAGGAGCUUCGAUUACUAACAGUGAAGAAUAAAGGAAAGUUACUAAGAGAAUUGUCCAAUAAAGCUCACAUGGAGGUGUUGAAAUGUUUCACACACCAAAUCCCUUUCCAAGAUCCCUCAACACCGUUGCCGAAACCCGUCUCAGGUACUUGGGUGAAUUUAUCAGGGAAAGCAACUCCAACUAACUGAAAUGGAUGUCACUCCAAUGCUCUAAUAAGGAGCGCUCCAAAGUAGGUGGAGGACACAGCUAAAGCACUAGUCUCUAGUCUCCAUUGAUCACCUAUCAGCAAGGGAAGUUUAGAUACCAAUUUGAAGAGCAUUUGCUUACCUUUCCUUAGGGGUCGAGAGCUGCCAGCCCUGGAGGUACCACACUAACUAGGGACCUACUUAAUUUUAUUGUAGAAAUUUUCGGGCUUAAUAAUUGGACCAUGCAAAUUAGAAAUACUUUUCCUUUGAUAAAUGAAGAGAUUGCUCGAUUUAUGUUAUAUAUAAUAUAUAUACUUGGUCGCCUGUUUUAAAUGGAUGCCCCAUUUUUGCACUCUAAUUGAUAUAAAAAGGGGUACGAAAAAUGAAAUUUAAGUAGGGACCUGUUGCCAGUGCCCUCGACGACUGUUUAGCUGCUUCUGCAGAUACAUAUGUCUUGUUGGAUGAAGUUAUCAAACAACUCUAGCUGCUUUCUUCAAGACAUUCUAUUUGUUCUUAUGCACUUGCUGAUACUUAAAAUGUAAGUCUCCUGCUUUUUCCCUUAGUUCUGCAAUCAUUCAUUAUCAUUACUUACUGGCCCUCUACUUUCCCAAGUCUAAGAAGCAUUUGGAUGCAUAAAUGCUCAACCAAAAAAGUCAGCACAAUCAUGGCUAUUGAAUCUGGGUUAAACUUAUCAACGUUGUACUUAAAUACAUAUUCUUGUACUGACCAAGUUUGCAGGUAAAGUUGGCUGUGAGUGAGGGGAAGAUGUUUGGCUUUCAUUCGACAAUACUAUUGCCUCACCGGCUGGUACGCCAAGCAUGAAACAGGCAUACAGAUCUCAUUCUAUGCAUUGUUGCCAGUGCAUGAACUAAGGGACCUGUUGCCAGUGCCCUCGACGACUGUUUAGCUGCUUCUGCAGAUACAUAUGUCUUGUUGGAUGAAGUUAUCAAACAACUCUAGCUGCUUUCUUCAAGACAUUCUAUUUGUUCUUAUGCACUUGCUGAUACUUAAAAUGUAAAGUUGGCUGUGAGUGAGGGGAAGAUGUUUGGCUUUCAUUCGACAAUACUAUUGCCUCACCGGCUGGUACGCCAAGCAUGAAACAGGCAUACAGAUCUCAUUCUAUGCAUUGUUGCUCGUGUUGUUAUAAUCAUGACUGUACAGUGUUUAAUUUACCUGUUCCAUUCAUUUUGGAUGGUCCAGGUUAUUUUAAAGAGUUCUUAUGAUACAUAAAAUCAAAUUAAAUGUAUGAUCUGGACUUUUUAAACUCAUCUUAAUCUUGAUGAACAGGGUUGGCAAAUCUGGAUGAUUAGAGAGAUCUCUUGCCACAUAAUGUAAAGUUCCUUUUGACAUUCUUAAUCUCAUCAUAGGCUUCAGGCCUUGGAUUUUGAUACAUUGGAGGGCCUUUGAUCUCUACAUUUAAAGUCGUUUGCAAUACAUUUCUCCCUUACUCCUCGUCUGUCCUCCAAAAUCUAAGGUAUGGAAAAUAAUAAUAAUUACUCUAAUAAUAAAUACUUUUAAAUGUGAAGGACAAUAAUGUAAUUUUGGAUUGUAUUGAGGAUAAACACGUACUCUAAUCCGAAAGACUCGAGGUUAGGGAUGGACUGCCCAUUGGCCAUUGGCCAUUGGCCAUUGGCACCCCAAAUGAAGCCAAAGUUGUCUCUUUCUUUCUUUCUUUAAUAGUUAAUUACCCUUUUCAGUGUUC